UACGAAGGGGGCUAGCGUUGCUCGGAAUCACUGGGCGUAAAGCGCACGUAGGCGGAUUGUUAAGUCAGAGGUGAAAGCCUGGAGCUCAACUCCAGAACUGCCUUUGAUACUGGCAAUCUCGAGUCCGGAAGAGGUAAGUGGAACUCCGAGUGUAGAGGUGAAAUUCGUAGAUAUUCGGAAGAACACCAGUGGCGAAGGCGGCUUACUGGUCCGGUACUGACGCUGAGGUGCGAAAGCGUGGGGAGCAAACAGG
rnacentral:rRNA from 1 species